rnacentral:rRNA from 1 species
UACGUAGGGCGCAAGCGUUAUCCGGAAUUAUUGGGCGUAAAGAGCUCGUAGGCGGUUUGUCGCGUCUGCUGUGAAACCCGAGGCUCAACCUCGGGCCUGCAGUGGGUACGGGCAGACUAGAGUGUGGUAGGGGAGACUGGAAUUCCUGGUGUAGCGGUGGAAUGCGCAGAUAUCAGGAGGGAACACCAAUGGCGAAGGCACGGUCUCCUGGGCCACAACAUAACGCUGGAGGAGCGAA